rnacentral:sRNA from 1 species
AAUAUUCCGGUAGGUAAGGCUACCACAGGGAUACGGGUUGCUACCGCGAAGGCAGUGGAGACACUACAAGCAGGUUAGCAGACUAUGUCGAAACCAAGGCAUAAUCUAACGCAAUUUCAUUGCCCUGUGAUGCUAAAGCUUGUAUGGU